AUGAACAACACCGACCAGCGAGCAGCCAAGGGGAAAGCAAUCUUCCACACUCGUUUGGUCUUGUGUCAAAGCUGUGUGAAACUGGAGGGAGAAACUUGAGAGACCGUGCCGGAAGAAUGCUGGACAGAGUUCCAUAAAAUUCAUUAAUUUCAAAGUUCAACAUGAAUGGUGGUAGUCCACUGCAGAAGCAAGCAUUUGAAAAAACAUCAGUUCUCAGUUAUUAAAGAUGCUGUGUUGAACAACUUCCCAGCAGCAACAGAACUGGAAGUGAAGGAUGCAAUGGGGGCAUUUCAAACAGGCACCGGGGGGGGGGGGGGUAUAGAAAUUAGUACAAUUAAUAAGUUGAAGUGAACUGAAGAUAAGUUUGUUAAUGUUUAGAUGUUAUUUCAUUUUUAAAAUUUUAUUUUGUUAUUUAUGCUUUUAUUUUGUUACUGUUUUUAUUCUUUUUGUUAAAAGUAGUUUUUCAUUUUGUCUUAUCUGAAUUUCUAUUGUAUUAACAAUAUUUCUUGUAAUAAAUUGCAUGAUUACAUGUUUAUGAGAACCUUUUUUAAUGGAUUAAAAAUAAUUCUUUAGCCA